GACGAACGCUGGCGGCGUGCUUAACACAUGCAAGUCGAGCGGAGCGGCGAACGGGUGAGUAACGCGUGAGUAACUGCCCCCCUCCCUGGGAUAACAGUUGGAAACGGCUGCUAAUACCGGAUAGUGGGGGAUGACUCGCGUCCUAUCAGCUUGUUGGUGGGGUAGUGGCCUACCAAGGCGACGAAUGGUACCCGGCCUGAGAGGGCGACCGGCCACAUUGGGCUGGGAUACGGCCCAAACUCCUACGGGAGACAGCAGUGGGGAAUAUUGCAAAAGUGGGGAAACCCUGAUGCAGCAACGCCGUGUGCGGGAUGACGGCCUUCGGGUUGUAAACCGCUUUCAGCCAUGACGCGGUAGUGGCAGAAGAAGCACCGGCUAACUACGUGCCAGCAGCCGCGGUAAUUC
rnacentral:rRNA from 1 species